GUUUGUUUUAGUUUGUCCUAAAAGGCUCCUGUAGUUCGGGCAAGUUCCUGAGUAAGGCUGUUUCGGCAGUGCUAAACUUUGUCAAUAUGCUUUGCUGGCUACCAGGAAACAUCUGUCUUGAUUUUCUCAGCCACGCUGGCAAGGGCUCCGUCUCCUUCUUUACUCGAUCAGCGCAGCCUCUGGAUCACAUCAGAAACACCUUUCAACUGUACAUCUGAGUUCCAAGGUCCAUUAACCUGAUGCAGAAUUGAAGCUCAGUGACUCUACGUUCUUCCAAAGGAUGGACAUCUCCUUCGACUUUUCUGUGUGGGCAUAAUGGAAAAGGUGGAACAAAUCCCAUCAUCUCUGAAAGAGGUUAAGCUGUAAUGCUAGAGGCUUUCCUUAAUGUGGUUACAAAGAUCUCAACAGCUCCACUUUGUUUCUGAUCAACCACCUGCUCCUUGUUCAUUUGUCAACUCUCCAGCUUUAAUAACUCAGUUAAACAGCUGUGUCUCAGAUCCCCUCAUUGCUUCAAAUCCUGAUCCAAGCAGCCCGGAUAGCCUGCGGAGUGAGGAGCGAGGUAAUCUGACUUGCCUCAGGAGUGACACAGACGAAGGUGACGCCUUCAGGAGUCAAGAUACUGCAGAGCUAAUGGAUUUGUCCCAGACGUCUAAGUGACAACUGAACCUCGCCUCAAACAGGACGAAUAACAAAGGCAACCAGUUCAAACGUGACUCUCCUUCGUCUUCGUUUGGCCCCAGAAGGGAUGAAAAAGGAAAAGGGAGCAAACGUCUCACAUCUCACCUCAUCUACACCACAGCAUCCAUCCAUCAUCUGUGGCAGCCUAAAUUCCCAUUUUUCCAUCCCCUUAAAGGAGCACAGCCGUUAAUGCAGAGGGGUUUCUUACAGAAAAGACUGGUCUUUAUAUCCUCUAAGAAAAAAAUACCACUCAAAGUAAUCUUGCCUCAAUCUAUGUUAAUGACCUUGUUUUAAUAUUUCAAACAACCAUGUGUUUCUUGUUUUCUGACAGUCUUCAAAUUGCUGAAUCAAGUGCAGAUCCAGCUGUACUGGGUGUUGGAUUUUCUAAAAACAUCACGCCAGACAGACUGAAAUGCCAGAUUCAAGGCAGAUUUGGACUGAGAUUCAUCCACAAUCAUGAGGACACGUCUUGUCAACAACCCUCCUCGCGUGACCUCAAAGAUCUUCUGUCAGAUUUGGUUAUGGGCGCUGGCUGUGACAUUCCAAAACUUCCAUUCUCUCCAGAGUUCCAUUGCUCUGGUGAUUUGGGUUUCAGUGACUCCAACUUGCAGCAAUUUUGUCAUGAAGUUAUCCUGCCCCAUCACCACACAUCUGCUUUUGUCCUGUUUGCAUUUGGGUCCUAAACAAUCAUUGAGCAGUCCUCUAAAUUCAUGUUUAUGAAGGUGUUAGAGUCUGACUGACAGUCUUGGUUAUUAUUACAUAUGCAAAUGCAGCUGACAGCUGAUGAAAAUGUAAUGGAAACAAAUUGAAACCUACCUUAUCUGGACAACACUGACUAGCAAACCACCAGAAUAAAGAGAGGAAAUUUAUUACGCACUGGAAUAUGGAAUGACAAGUAAUCAACGUGAACAAUUGGGGCCAAUGAGAUGUUAUCAGAACAGUCAUUAUCAAAAUAAAUUUGUGCUGCGUAUUUUUUCCAUCUUGGUCUCAAGUCUUAUCUCAGUUUGCACAGUGUGCCACAUCAUGUCCCAUCUUAACAUAAUAAUCCACAACAAUUUUUGUUUAUAUUUUAAUAUUUUGUGAGGAGAAAGUGUAGAUAAAAGUUUCUUGUGUUGUUAAGAAACUUUUGCCGAUAGUGUUUUAUUUGUUUCAGUUGUACAGAAAAUUGCCUUCUCCAAUCUUACAGGCAUAAAGGUCUUCUGGUCGAUUUGCGAUACCUUGGAAACGGGACAUGUCACACCAAAAUUUGGCUUUUUCUUGUCUUUGUGCUUUCGUGAGAUUUGUGUGUCUGCUCUGUCUUCAUAGGCAGCCACUUAUGCUCACCCUCAUUUUAGUGGCGGUUCCUUCCAUUACAGGGCGGUCAUUACCUGUACCUGUCACCACACGCUUGCUCAGGAGUCGGGAUUGCUGCGCAGUUAAUGUCUUUAUGCAAACAGCUGGGCAUUUUACUAAAUGUUACAAGCUAAACUUGACUGUAUUGUAUAUUAUUGGGGUUUUAUUCAUGAUCGGAAUGUCUUAAUUGAUUUGUUGUAUAUUUGUAGAUAUGAAUUGUGCUGGUUUGUCUUGUAAAGUACCUUAAUCUGACAAUGUGAAUAAACACUUUUCACAUGAAUUG